GAUGAACGCUGGCGGCGUGCCUAAUACAUGCAAGUCGAGCGAACAGACGAGGAGCUUGCUCCUCUGACGUUAGCGGCGGACGGGUGAGUAACACGUGGAUAACCUACCUAUAAGACUGGGAUAACUUCGGGAAACCGGAGCUAAUACCGGAUAAUAUAUUGAACCGCAUGGUUCAAUAGUGAAAGACGGUUUUGCUGUCACUUAUAGAUGGAUCCGCGCCGCAUUAGCUAGUUGGUAAGGUAACGGCUUACCAAGGCAACGAUGAGUAGCAGACCUGAGAGGGUGAUCGGCCACACUGGAACUGAGACACGGUCCAGACUCCUACGGGAGGCAGCAGUAGGGAAUCUUCGGCAAUGGGCGAAAGCCUGAUGGAGCAACGCCGCGUGAGUGAUGAAGGUCUUCGGAUCGUAAAACUCUUUUAUUAGGGAAGAAAAGAUGUGGAAGAAAAUAUGCAGGUCUUGACGGUACCUGAUCAAAAAGCAACGGCUAACUACGUG
rnacentral:rRNA from 1 species